CGCCGCGGUCCCCGCAGGCCCCGCUCCUGCCGCCGCCGCUCCGGGUGGGAUGACGCCGCCCGCUCCCUGCCGUCCCUUCCUUCCCCCGGGAGAACUCCCGGCCGGGGCGCGAACGGCAGUCCCCGCCGGCCCUUCCCAGGCCACAACAGCACCCGCCGGGGCUCCGGCAGCGCGGCCGCGCCGGCUCCAGAAGCGGCGUCGGCGAGAGCGAGAGGAGCGUCUCAGGAAAGCCGGGCUGAGGGGCCGGGUGUGAAUGCAAGAUGGAAGGAAAUGCAUUUCUCAGCUCAUGGGUGCCUUGCUUGAAGCUGAAUGUUGCAGGCAGAAGUGAGACAGACCACCAACAGCUCAACUUCCUGUGAGCAGCUGAUGUUUUAGGACAUUUAAGUUAAGCCCUUAAUAAAACCCUGGUUCUGUCGAAGUUGACACUUACCAUGGACUGGAAUAAAGCCAGACAGACACCCCUAUUAUUCCAAAAACAGAGGUUUUCUUUGACCUUCAAGGUUUAUU